GAGUUUGAUCCUGGCUCAGAACGAACGCUGGCGGCGUGCUUAACACAUGCAAGUCGAACGUGAUCCAGAGCUUGCUCUGGUGAAAGUGGCGCACGGGUGAGUAACGCGUGGAUAACCUGCCCUGGUAUCUGGGAUAACAUCUCGAAAGGGGUGCUAAUACCGGAUAAGCCUACGGACUCCUCGGAGUCUGCAGGAAAAGGAGGCCUCUAUUUAUAAGCUUCCGUAUCAUGAUGGGUCCGCGUACCAUUAGCUAGUUGGUGGGGUAAUGGCCUACCAAGGCGACGAUGGUUAGCUGGUCUGAGAGGAUGAUCAGCCACACUGGAACUGAGACACGGUCCAGACUCCUACGGGAGGCAGCAGUGGGGAAUUUUGCGCAAUGGGGGAAACCCUGACGCAGCAACGCCGCGUGAGUGAUGAAGGCUUUCGGGUCGUAAAGCUCUGUCAGAGGGGAAGAAAUGAAACGUGCUAAUAUCACGUUUUCUUGACGGUACCCUCAAAGGAAGCACCGGCUAACUCCGUGCCAGCAGCCGCGGUAAUAC
rnacentral:rRNA from 1 species